rnacentral:rRNA from 1 species
CUGGAAUCUGCAGAGAUGUGGGAGUGCCUUCGGGACCUGGAGAAAGUGCUGCAUGGCUGUCGUCAGCUCGUGUCGUGAGAUGUUGGGUUAAGUCCCGCAACGAGCGCAACCCUUGCCCUUAGUUGCCAUCAUUUAAUUGGGAACUCUCAAGGGACACCCCGUGACAAACACCAGAAAAGUGGGGGUAACAUCUAAUCUCCUCGGGCCUUUUAACCAGGGGUACACACAUGUUACAAUGGGCGGUACAAAGGGGUGCCCACCCCCGCGGGGGAGCCAAUCCCAAAAAAACCGUCUUAUUCCCGAUAGCAGUCUCCAACUCUCCUCCGUGAAAUCGGAAACUCUAUUAAUCCCGAAUCACCCAUGUCCCGGUGAAAACCUUCCCCGGGUUUGUAA